rnacentral:rRNA from 1 species
CACGUAGGGUGCGAGCGUUGUCCGGAAUUAUUGGGCGUAAAGAGCUCGUAGGCGGUGUGUCGCGUCGGCCGUGAAAACCUGGGGCUUAACUCUGGGCGUGCGGUCGAUACGGGCAUCACUGGAGUUCGGCAGGGGAGACUGGAAUUCCUGGUGUAGCGGUGAAAUGCGCAGAUAAUCAGGAGGAACACCGGUGGCGAAGGCGGGUCUCUGGGCCGAUACUGACGCUGAGGAGCGAAAGCG